rnacentral:rRNA from 1 species
UACGGAGGGUGCAAGCGUUAUCCGGAUUUAUUGGGUUUAAAGGGUCCGUAGGCGGAUCUGUAAGUCAGUGGUGAAAUCUCACAGCUUAACUGUGAAACUGCCAUUGAUACUGCAGGUCUCGAGUAAGGUAGAAGUGGCUGGAAUAAGUAGUGUAGCGGUGAAAUGCAUAGAUAUUACUUAGAACACCAAUUGCGAAGGCAGGUCACUAUGUCUUAACUGACGCUGAUGGACGAAAGCGUGGGGAGCAAACAGG